rnacentral:rRNA from 1 species
CUGGUGUCAGCCGCCGCGGUAAUACCAGCUCUCCGAGUAGUGUGGAUGUUUAUUGGGCCUAAAGCAUCCGUAGCUUGCUAUGCAAGUCCCCUGUUAAAUCCACCGAUUUAAUCGUUGGACUGCGGGGGAUACUGUUUGGCUAGGGGACGGGAGAGGCCGACGGUAUUUCCGGGGUAGGGGUGAAAUCCUAUAAUCCCGGGAGGACCACCAGUGGCGAAGGCUGUCGGCUAGAACGCGCCCGACGGUGAGGGAUGAAAGCUGGGGGAGCGAACCGGAUUAGAUACCCGGGUAGUCCCAGCUGUAAACGAUGCAGGCUAGUGGUUUGGGCGGCCACGAGCCGCCCUAGUGCCGCAGGGAAGCUGUUAAGCCUGCCGCCUGGGGAGUACGGCCGCAAGGCUGAAACUUAAAG